UAAAAUACACUCUAACUUCAAAACAGCUCUUCUUGGAGGAAGUGAAAGCUUUUUAAAAAGUUAACAAAGUGACGAAUCAAUUUUUAGAAUCUUUAAAUAAAAUACUAUAAAUACCAGAAAAAAAUCCACCAAAAAAUGAUUGAUUAUAUCUAAAGAGAGAGAACUCCAAAAAAAAAUAAAAAAUGAUCCAAAAGCCAAUACAAACCCAUGUUACUCCAC
rnacentral:lncRNA from 1 species